AAUAGCCUAACGGCUGAACCAGCAACUUGGAGGAAUGUAUAGCUACGGCUAAUUGUGUAUAACUACACGAUAUCGACUCUGUCGAAUAAAAUUCUGGGUAAAUUAUGAUGAUGACAUUUUUUACCUAUGUGUCUUGACCAAAUUGUGUGCCAGCAGUCGCGGUAAUACAUAGAAGACUAGUGUUAUUCAUCUUUAAUAGGUUUAAAGGGUACCUAGACGGUAGAUCAAGCCCUAGACGGGACUAAUUUGCUAGAGUUACUUAUGAGGGGGCUUUAAAGUACUAAUGGUGUAGAGAUAAAAUUUUGUAAUACCAUUUUUCGUAAAGAAAAAUUAUGGCACUGGUAAAGGCGAAAGCAUCCCCCUAUGUGAUAA
rnacentral:rRNA from 1 species